rnacentral:tRNA from 1 species
GCCUGGGUGGCUCAGUUGGUUAAGCGUCUGCCUUCAGCUCAGGUCAUGAUCUCAGGAUCGUGGGAUCUAGCCCCACAUCAGGCU